rnacentral:rRNA from 1 species
CCUACGGGUGGCAGCAGUCGAGAAUAAUUCACAAUGGGGGAAACCCUGAUGGUGCGAAGCCGCGUGGGGGAAUGCAGGUCUACGGAUUGUAAACCCCUGUUAUGUGGGAGCAAAUUAAAAAGAUAGUACCACAAGAGGAAGAGCCGGCUAACUCAGUGCCAGCAGACCCGGUAAUACAGGGGUCUCAAACGUUGUUCGGAAUCACUGGGCGUAAAGCGUGCGGGGGCUGUUACGUAAAUCGUGUGGGAAAGAGGCGGGCGCAACCGGCGGGGGGCCGAUGAUACUGCGGUACUAGAGUAGGGGAGGGGGAAGCGGAAUGCUCGGUGUAGCAGUGAAAUGCGUAGAUAUCGAGAGGAACACUGGUGGCGAAGGCAGGUUCCUGGACAUUUACUGACGCUGAGGCACGAAGGCCAGGGGAUCGAAAGGGAUUAGAUACCCCUGUAGUC